UACGUAGGGUGCAAGCGUUGUCCGGAAUUAUUGGGCGUAAAGAGCUCGUAGGCGGUCUGUCACGUCGGCUGUGAAAACCCGAGGCUCAACCUCGGGCCUGCAGUCGAUACGGGCAGACUAGAGUUCGGUAGGGGAGACUGGAAUUCCUGGUGUAGCGGUGAAAUGCGCAGAUAUCAGGAGGAACACCAAUGGCGAAGGCAGCUCGCUGGAACGGUACUGACGCUGAGGCGCGAAAGCGUGGGGAGCAAACAGGA
rnacentral:rRNA from 1 species